GGCAACUACCACUGUCCCAACCGCGAUCCUAAGCUUUCGACGAUGUACUUCACCCCCCUGGUUUGAGCCUAAAAAAAUUGUUUUUGAGAAGAAAAUCUCACUGAAAAUCGUGAUAUUUUUCUUCCAAUUUGCUUGAUUUACAACGGAUACUGUAUUUUUACGCCGCUCGUAUGUGUGAGAAUUCUCCAAAGUCCAAACAAGAACGAGAAGAAUAUAUUUUUAUUCACCGGUAAGAUUUUGGAGCGAUUAUAGAAUACCCGGCCACUUUUGAAUUUUGAUAGUGUUUGUUUUUGGGGGAUACGGGGAUACGCAGUCAUUAAAAUGACGUAAUUAUUCGAGUAGUAGUUUAAGAGGAGAAUUGGUAACUAUUAUUUUUCAAUGAUACGGGGAUACGGGGAUACGCAGUCAUUAAAAUGACGUAAUUAUUCGAGUAGUAGUUUAAGAGGAGAAUGGGUAACUAUUAUUUUUCAAUGAUACGGGGAUAUAGGGAUACGCAGUCAUUAAAAUGACGUAAUUAUUCGAGUAGUUUAAAAGGAGAAUGGGUAACUAUUAUUUUUCAAUGAUACGGGGAUACGGGGAUACGCAGUCAUUAAAAUGACGUAAUUAUUCGAGUAGUUUAAAAGGAGAAUGGGUAACUAUUAUUUUUCAAUGAUACGGGGAUACGCAGUCAUUAAAAUGACGUAAUUAUUCGAGUAGUUUAAGAGGAGAAUGGGUAACUAUUAUUUUUCAAUGAUACGGGGAUACGCAGUCAGUAAAAUGACGUAAUUAUUCGAGUAGUUUAAAAGGAGAAUGGGUAACUUAUUAUUUUUCAGUGAUACGGGGAUACGGGGAUACGCAGUCAUUAAAAUGACGUAAUUAUUUGAGUAGUUUAAAAGGAGAAUGGGUAACUAUUAUUUUUCAGUGAUACGGGGAUACGGGGAUACGCAGUCAUUAAAAUGACGUAAUUAUUUGAGUAGUUUAAAAGGAGAAUGGGUAACUAUUAUUUUUCAAUGAUACGGGGAUACGCAGUCAUUAAAAUGACGUAAUGAUUUGAGUAGUUUAAGAGGAAUUUUUCGAGUAGUUUAAGAAGAGAAUGGGUAACUAUUAUUUUUCAAUGAUACGGGGAUACGGGGAUACGCAGUCAUUAAAAUGACGUAAUUAUUUGAGUAGUUUAAGACGAAUUAUUCGAGUAGUUUAAGAAGAGAAUGGGUAACUAUUAUUUUUCAAUGAUACGGGGAUACGGGGAUACGCAGUCAUUAAAAUGACGUAAUUAUUCGAGUAGUUUAAAAGGAGAAUGGGUAACUAUUAUUUUUCAAUGAUACGGGAAUACGGGGAUACGCAGUCAUUAAAAUGACGUAAUUAUUCGUGUACUUUAAAAGGAGAAUUGGUAUAACUAUUAUAUUUCAAUGAUACGGGGAUACGGGAAUACGCAGUCAUUAAAAUGACGUAAUUAUUCGUGUAGUUGAAGAGGAGAAUUGGUAACUAUUAUAUUUCAAUGAUACGGGGAUACGGGGAUACGCAGUCAUUAAAAUGACGUAAUUAUUCGAGUAGUUUAAGAGGAGAAUGGAUAACUAUUAUUUUUCAAUGAUACGAGGAUACGCAGUCA
rnacentral:lncRNA from 1 species